rnacentral:rRNA from 2 species
AGGGCGCAGCUAUACAUGCAGUCGAGCGGACUUGAUGAGAAGCUUGCUUCUCUGAUGGUUAGCGGCGGACGGGUGAGUAACACGUAGGCAACCUGCCCUCAAGCUUGGGACAACUACCGGAAACGGUAGCUAAUACCGAAUAAUUGUUUUCUUCACCUGAAGGAAACUGGAAAGACGGAGCAAUCUGUCACUUGGGGAUGGGCCUGCGGCGCAUUAGCUAGUUGGUGGGGUAACGGCUCACCAAGGCGACGAUGCGUAGCCGACCUGAGAGGGUGAUCGGCCACACUGGGACUGAGACACGGCCCAGACUCCUACGGGAGGCAGCAGUAGGGAAUCUUCCGCAAUGGGCGAAAGCCUGACGGAGCAAUGCCGCGUGAGUGAUGAAGGUUUUCGGAUCGUAAAGCUCUGUUGCCAGGGAAGAACGCUUGGGAGAGUAACUGCUCUCAAGGUGACGGUACCUGAGAAGAAAGCCCCGGCUAACUACGUGCCAGCAGCCGCGGUAAUACGUAGGGGGCAAGCGUUGUCCGGAAUUAUUGGGCGUAAAGCGCGCGCAGGCGGUCAUUUAAGUCUGGUGUUUAAUCCCGGGGCUCAACCCCGGAUCGCACUGGAAACUGGGUGACUUGAGUGCAGAAGAGGAGAGUGGAAUUCCACGUGUAGCGGUGAAAUGCGUAGAUAUGUGGAGGAACACCAGUGGCGAAGGCGACUCUCUGGGCUGUAACUGACGCUGAGGCGCGAAAGCGUGGGGAGCAAACAGGAUUAGAUACCCUGGUAGUCCACGCCGUAAACGAUGAGUGCUAGGUGUUAGGGGUUUCGAUACCCUUGGUGCCGAAGUUAACACAUUAAGCACUCCGCCUGGGGAGUACGGUCGCAAGACUGAAACUCAAAGGAAUUGACGGGGACCCGCACAAGCAGUGGAGUAUGUGGUUUAAUUCGAAGCAACGCGAAGAACCUUACCAGGUCUUGACAUCCCUCUGACCGGUACAGAGAUGUACCUUUCCUUCGGGACAGAGGAGACAGGUGGUGCAUGGUUGUCGUCAGCUCGUGUCGUGAGAUGUUGGGUUAAGUCCCGCAACGAGCGCAACCCUUGAUCUUAGUUGCCAGCACUUCGGGUGGGCACUCUAAGGUGACUGCCGGUGACAAACCGGAGGAAGGUGGGGAUGACGUCAAAUCAUCAUGCCCCUUAUGACCUGGGCUACACACGUACUACAAUGGCCGGUACAACGGGCUGUGAAGCCGCGAGGUGGAACGAAUCCUAAAAAGCCGGUCUCAGUUCGGAUUGCAGGCUGCAACUCGCCUGCAUGAAGUCGGAAUUGCUAGUAAUCGCGGAUCAGCAG